GGGUUGUGAGGUUAAGCGACUAAGCGUACACGGUGGAUGCCCUGGCAGUCAGAGGCGAUGAAGGACGUGCUAAUCUGCGAAAAGCGUCGGUAAGGUGAUAUGAACCGUUAUAACCGGCGAUGUCCGAAUGGGGAAACCCAGUGUGAUUCGUCACACUAUCGUUAACUGAAUACAUAGGUUAACGAGGCGAACCGGGGGAACUGAAACAUCUAAGUACCCCGAGGAAAAGAAAUCAACCGAGAUUCCCCCAGUAGCGGCGAGCGAACGGGGAGCAGCCCAGAGUCUGAAUCAGCUUGUGUGUUAGUGGAACGGUCUGGAAAGUCCGACGGUACAGGGUGAUAGUCCCGUACACCAAAAUGCACAGGUUGUGAACUCGAAGAGUAGGGCGGGACACGUGGUAUCCUGUCUGAAUAUGGGGGGACCGAUCCUCCA
rnacentral:rRNA from 1 species